rfam:Trichobilharzia regenti genome assembly, scaffold: TRE_scaffold0009182
GUACUGCCGAAGAGUCCCAAACUAGGACGAAACAGCUGCCCAGUAC